UACGAAGGGGGCUAGCGUUGCUCGGAAUCACUGGGCGUAAAGCGCACGUAGGCGGAUCUUUAAGUCAGGGGUGAAAUCCCAAGGCUCAACCUUGGAACUGCCUUUGAUACUGGGGAUCUCGAGUCCGGAAGAGGUGAGUGGAACUGCGAGUGUAGAGGUGAAAUUCGUAGAUAUUCGCAAGAACACCAGUGGCGAAGGCGGCUCACUGGUCCAGUACUGACGCUGAGGUGCGAAAGCGUGGGGAGCAAACAGG
rnacentral:rRNA from 1 species